GAGUAACGCGUAUCCAACCUGCCCACCACUUGGGGAUAACCUUGCGAAAGUAAGACUAAUACCCAAUGACGUCUCUAGAAGGCAUCUGAAAGAGAUUAAAGAUUUAUCGGUGAUGGAUGGGGAUGCGUCUGAUUAGCUUGUUGGCGGGGUAACGGCCCACCAAGGCAACGAUCAGUAGGGGUUCUGAGAGGAAGGUCCCCCACAUUGGAACUGAGACACGGUCCAAACUCCUACGGGAGGCAGCAGUGAGGAAUAUUGGUCAAUGGACGAGAGUCUGAACCAGCCAAGUAGCGUGCAGGAAGACGGCCCUAUGGGUUGUAAACUGCUUUUAUAAGGGAAUAAAGUGAGUCUCGUGAGACUUUUUGCAUGUACCUUAUGAAUAAGGACCGGCUAAUUCCGUGCCAGCAGCCGCGGUAAUACGGAAGGUCCGGGCGUUAUCCGGAUUUAUUGGGUUUAAAGGGAGCGUAGGCCGGAGAUUAAGCGUGUUGUGAAAUGUAGACGCUCAACGUCUGCACUGCAGCGCGAACUGGUUUCCUUGAGUACGCACAAAGUGGGCGGAAUUCGUGGUGUAGCGGUGAAAUGCUUAGAUAUCACGAAGAACUCCGAUUGCGAAGGCAGCUCACUCUAGCGCAACUGACGCUGAAGCUCGAAAGUGCGGGUAUCGAACAGGAUUAGAUACCCUGGUAGUCCGCACGGUAAACGAUGGAUGCCCGCUGUUGGUCUGAAUAGGUCAGCGGCCAAG
rnacentral:rRNA from 1 species